GGUAACAGCCGGCGCCAGUCAGUAAGAAACAUGGAGUCAGUGAAAACGGCGUCGCAACGCGGAGUAGGAGUUUAUGAUCCCUGCAUGACUUUUACGGAUCUCUUGGGGAAGCCCGCAAUUUUAAAAAAGUUUGUAAGAGUAGAGUGCGACGGAGUACCAACUCCCUACGCUGCUUGUUAUACGUGCAAAGUCAUAGUCAAAUAUGCACCUGACUCGGGGACGACUGGCAUGCAGAAACACACUUGUAGAAGGACAAGGAUUCAUCGACAUUGCGAAGGAGUUGCUUCAUAUCGCUGCGACUUAUGGGACCAGCAUUGAGAUCGAAGGAGUCUUGGUGAGUGCACGGAGUGUUUCUCGCCAUCUUGAGAAGGAUUACGAAAAAAAUAAAGCAAUUUAGAACGGCUCCAACAGGUAUGCCUGCUGUCAAUAUAUCUAGGCUAUGUGUUGUAAUUGUUAUGCUUGUCUUAUGAAGUACACGUACUAGACUUGGAAUAGGCUUCACUCUAGUACUUUGGUCCAGCACUCUUAAAAGCUGACAAUCAUAUAAAUCACUUUGAACAGAAUAACGAUGGACCACACUUUGCUUAUUAGUAGUUAAUUUUAGUCAAACGCAGAUUACACUGGUCUACAUUGAGUACUUAAUAACUGUUCCUAGUUCAUUUUUUGACGCUGAUUUCAGAUUUGUAAUUGAAAUUCAGCUAACAUGUCAGGUUUCAGAGAUGCACAUUGCUGAUGUUUUAGACAAAUUGCCAUAUCGGCACAAUAUUACGAGUAUGAACUAUGUCAUACCAAACUUGUGUUAAAGGGUUACUGUGAAAACAGUCAUGAACACGCAUACAGACAGAUGCUACAGCAUACAUUUAUAGCUCUCUUAACUCACAAAAAGUGAUGUCAGCAUGUUCAGAAAUGUUUGAGACACUUGCUUUUACGCUUGUACUGUGCAUUAGUGUCUCUUUGCAAGAACCAACAGUAGUCUCCCAUCAUACUGGGAUUGAACUUUCCCUGAUAUCUGCUUUCCAUCGGCUUCAUAUCUUGAUGAAAUCUUUCCCCAUGCUCAUCACUUACAUCGCCAAGACUGGAUGGAAAGAAGUCAAGGUGCGAAUGCAGGAAGUGCAUCUUCAGUGACAUUCGGGCACCCAUUGCCUGAUAGGCUGUCAACAUGUUCUCCACCAGCGCACAAUCCUUGAUUUAUUCUUCUUUGUAAAUCCAGCAAUGUUUGUCAUGCAAAAAUAACAGUCUGAGUGAUGGUCUGUUGGUUCACGCCACACCAUUGGCACAGUGAAUGGCAUUUUCUGUCCUUUGCCAUUCAGCCACUGUGUUAAACCGGAAUAGCAGACAGUGUAGCAUACAUGAGGUGCCCAUGCUUUAUUCUGAUCGCCAACUUUGCAGCCAAAAUAAUGGUAGUAUGCACUUCUAAAUAUGCUGGACAUAUUCUUUCGCUGAUCUUGUGCAGUAAAUUGUCCGCAGACGUAACAGAAGUUAUCGGGAUGGUUCACACAACCUCGCCUAUUCAUAUUGUCUAUGAAAAUGGAAACAAAGGUAAAAAGUAAGCACAAUGACGUACAUUUGUAAACCAGUAGUAUUAGUAGUAAAUUUAUCAAUGAGAUGUCCAAAAAUGGAAUAUAAUAUUACACACACAGUAAAGUACCGAUGCAUCACGGCAGCGUUAACGACGAAAAUGGUAUAAACACAAACCGGCGCAUAACUUGCGCAUAACCGACGUGAUGGACAAAAACGGUUUUCAGAUUUAGAAUUAGCAUGUCGAAUUUUAUAAGGUACAGGUGACAGACUUCCAUUAGCAAAAUGACUGUUGACCAGUGUUAUUUACACCUCUCACACAAACGCGUUUUGUCCUAAUGCCUUCUCGAAUCAGUGUGCACACGUGCGAUCCUGCCCUAUUUUGUUCUACCUUACGAAGUAAACAUGUCUUAAAUAUUUUCUGGUUAAUGUGUUGUGUGACCAGUUCACCGCGAGGAGCCCUCGAGUCAUGCGGGAAGCUUGCGAAAUAGUCAUUUGAGGACAAAAUGCAUGUGAUGAAAGAUGCACAGUAAUCUCGUUAAUGAAAUACAUUCUGUGCAUAUUUUCUGAAUCACAAAAUGAAUUUCGCCCCCUUUAAUGUUCAAUUUCUAAGCCACAAAAUGCACUUCGUCUCUGAAGUGAACUUGUCAUGCAGGCAAUGCUUUUGUGGAACCACAAAACGUUUCUUCUUUUUUUUCUGAAUCAUGAAAGGCACGUAGUAGGUUGGAGUAGUAACUUCCAAUGACCAGCAGGUGGAGAGAUUUCUGCAGAUUUAUGCAAUCCCAGUUUACUGAAUAAUGUCUUCAGGAUGUCCUCUGAACAUUCGCACGAACAUUUGUCUGUGGAGUCCUUUAAAGGUAUUUAAGAUAUUAUCAGAGGACGUCCAGUGAGCAUUUGGAGGCUUUGAGGGAACAUUAGUGAUAAGUUCUUGAAGAUGUCAGGACAUUUUAUAGUGAAGCUUAAGUAACUUUGACAGUGUAACUUUUUACAAUUAACAAUUAACUACAACUAACAAUUAAGUAACUUUUUGCAGUAAAUUAGGGAAGACUCUCCACAAACACUUGAGUGAAAAGAGUGUGAACUGGAUAAAGUUCAAGAAACUGCUGCGAUAUCCCUAAGGAACACAGAUCGUUGAAGUGCAUUCAUUGGGAAUAAAUGAAGCAGCCAUGGAUAAACCAUUAAUAUAAGCAAAGGAUAAAUCCUGCUUAGGAUCAAUAUUUUACCUGUCCUGAUGCCAACAGAACAGCGAUAAAAGUUAGUUGUGCGAUUGUACAUAAAUAUAACCAGACAACAAUACAGUAGGGUGCAAGAUUUUACUGAAAGCACAUUUUACAGUAUUUACAAUAUACUGUAACUGACCACAUGGUAGCCACAGUUCUUGCUCCGUCCAUAAGACAGUCUUAGCUUGCACAUGGAGCCCGUCGUUUCUUGAUAUUCUGUGGUGAACAGAGCCAACACCAACCAUCAGACUAGUGUUACCUGAAGCAUAACAACUCCAGCAGAACAACGAAACACCUAUUCUUGCUUCGAUAAAUGCUGAAGCUGACAAUUUGUCUUGCCCCGCUGUUCGAAAUGCACGAAAUGAACGUGCCAGACUUCUUUCGUUUUGUUGCCCAUACGUCCAGCACCAUUUUAACUCCUCAAAACUAAGCCCAGUACCUUGAGGAGCAUCUUUGGAAUCCUCAGGAAGGAUCUAAUGAAAGAACUGAUCCUCCCAUGUCUGCUGCCCAAAAUAACAUCUGGGGCCUCGGGGUCUCCUUCGUAGUCUGCACCACCUGAAGACAAUAAUGUAGGGUGAGUAUACAGGCCUUUUUACCACUUUCCAUUACCUUCUUCUUGAGCUUGGGCCAUGGGCAUAUGCUAAUCACUCUGUUGAAAGGUGUGCUAUCCGCAGGUGAUGCAGUACCUGUCGCAGCUGCUGUGGCUGGGCUGCAGCACGUAUCCUGGACCGCAGGGGUGCAUGGUUCCUCACCAUGAGGUAAGUUGCGGUCCAGGUGGAGGAACUUUGAUGCAACAUUUCUGAGCAGAGCCUGGCCAGACUCGCUCAGUUUAUCAUCUUCCAUCGGCAGAACAACAAAGCACCUUUUCUUGCUUCGAUGUAUUCUGAAGCAGAUACUCUCUGCUUUACCCUGCUGUUCAAAGUGCACCUCCACGUGCCAGACUGCAUUCAUUUUGCUGCACAUUUUGGGGUGCUUGAAAGAUUAUUUCAAAUAAUAAGAUCACUAAUCUUUAUCUUAUUCAGUGAAGUGUAGUGAACGGAACUAGACACAGUGCUACAAAAUAUUGUACUGACACUCGGGAACUGCGCCUCAGAAUUUAUACACGGCUAUUGCUUACGUAGUCUUGGAACGUACAAUCGUCUCCAUGGAAAUAUAAUUCAGCGGGACAGCCAAUGAGAUACCUAGCUACUGCAGCCAAUGAAAUGCCUAGUUGUGACAGCGAUGGCGUGCCUACGGGAAGUUUAACAUAAUAAAAUUUCCAUCCUCACAAUGACUUUCUUUUCAGUCGGAAUGGAUCCAAUAACAAGGUCUCCUGUACCGACGUUGAUAAUCUGUUCCGGCCAAACAACCGUGACGACAAAAAUCGGCCACGGUCUUACAAUGAGGUGACAUUUGACCAUCGGGGUGCGGGGUGGUUGCCGGCUGAUUAAUCAUUACUUUCCCCUAGAUUGGGGAUGGGACUGAAAUUGUAUCCAAAGGGGAGCAUCGGGACCGGGAAUCAUAAUAUAUUUAUAAAUUCAGUGGAAACUGCGUAUAGUGAUCCCGGUAAUAGUGAUCAGUCACAUAUAUAGCUCAAAAAGCUUGCGACAAAAUCAUUACUGUACAAAUUCUGUUUAAAUAACUCACCUAUAGUAAUCAAGUAGUCCGCUUACAGAGUUUGUUUCGGGUCUUUUUAAACGUUAUAUAUUAAAACAGCGUUUUCUUUUUUUUUUUUUUACUUUGAUCAUCCUACCUUGCGGGAGCCCGUCUGCUUCUCACUGGCUAUCCGAGGCUAAUGCGGCGUGCACAGAAAACAUGACAAGAAAGUCAUUUUCUCUCAGUAACAAGCAUAGGCUCAUCAAAGCUUAUGAUUAGCUGCCAAAAACCAGCCACCGAGAUGCAGCAGCGAAACUACAAUAAACGCUUUGAGGCAAUGUAGCGUCGUGAAAAUGCGCUGUUAAUAAAAUUGAAUUGAAUAUUUAUGUACAGUGAUACUGUAUUGUAUUAUAGUGUUCAGUAAUUUAAUUAAUACAGCACUGUUACGUGCCGUAAGUGUUUGCAGGAGGUCCAAGCAGAUUCUUCGGACCUUCCGCUCGUCACCAUUCGCCAGCUGCACUUUCAGCUUUGCCUCCCGCUCCUGGCCACGCCCCCUGCCUUCAGCGCUACUUCCUGUGUCUGGGAGAGAUAAGGCCACAGCUCACAAACCUUGAGAGCUCUUGCUCAUUGCUUUUGGUUAUUGGUUUGCUGUAUUAUGUUUGGAUUACUUGUGUAUGGCAGUUUUGUUUCUUGGUUUCAUAUUUUCACCUCGCCCUUUCCCGGUACCUUCGCCCCGGCUUUGAUUGUUUCUUUGGUCUUGAUCUCCCGCCUGCUUGUUGACUAUUCUUUUGCUUGCCCCCUCGGACACUGUCAUUUUGGCUUUUGUGUUUCCUGUGUGUUGUGCUGUGAUGCGUAUGGAGUGGCCGCCAUUUUUGUUCUGCGUGACGGGUUGCUUAAUGGUUGGUUUGGCUAGGGAGAUAGGACUUAGUAUUGUCGUUUUUGUUUGUGUUUUUUUCACUUAGGUUCAUCUUAGAUUGGGGAAUCGUUCGGUAACGGUGUUUUGUUUAUUGUUUUGGCCCGUGUCACUCCCGAAGUCUGUUGCACCUAAUGUUGUGAAAAUGUAUAUAAAAUUAUAAAAAAAAAAAAACUAUAUAAAAAAAAAAUCCCUUUAUGUCCCGUGUUCCCUUUCCUCCGCCCCUGGUUGUCCUGUUUCUCCUUUUCCCUAUUGCCUGUCCCUUCUGCUACGCUCCAACCCUAGACUGGACCAUAACAGAAAUUGGGGGCUCAUCCGUUUCUUUCUCUUUUCUGGUGUUUGUUUGGAGGUUUUUUUUUUGUGGGGGGAGGGGGGUGUUGUAGUGGUGUUAGUAGGAAUGGCUCAGUUCGACCUUGUUGCUUUCACUCUCUACCCCACACUCAAACAGUUCGAUAAGUGCCGUAAGGACGUCCUGCUAGGAAUAGCAGAGUUCUUUAAUGUUUUGGUCCCCGCUGAAACCUCUAAGCAGGUUAUGAAGCAAGUGUUGUUGGACGACCUAAUUCGACAGGGUAUCCUACCUGAGUUGGGGGGCUCGCCGAGUGUUGCGUCCGCUCCCGUGCGGUUGGCGGCUGCAGCGGCAGCCAGCGGCGUUGAUCUCGGCAAUACUAGCUCAACCAGGGAGGACCUGCUGCUGACAAUUCGGUUUAGGGAGCUGGAACUGGAGAUUAAAAAGCAGGAGUACCAGGCUCAGCUACUCCGUGUCCGGGCAUUGGAAGUCGAGGCUGACAAGGAGGUGGCAUUACAGAGGAUUAGCAUGGGUGAACAAAAACCUGUGCCCCUUCCACAUAAGGUACACUCACCGAGUACGACCCCUCAAGCCGGCCUGCCCACCCGUGACCGGGCUGGUGCCCUAGACGCUCCUCAAAUCUAGUCUUCGUUCUCCCUCAGGUUCACCAGUCUCCCAGGGAAUUGGAGGUGAAAAUUCAGGCUUUAACGUUGCCAUAUCAGUCUCGUUCCUGUGUUUCGGGAACAUGAGGUGGAUGCUUGCUUCGCUAUUUUCAAGAGGAUUGCUACGACCUUGAACUGGCCUAGACAUCUGUGGUCGCUGCUGCUACAAUGCAAGUUAGAGGGGAAGACGCAGGAAGUUUGCUCAGCUCUGGCAUUAGAACAGAGCCUAGAUUAUGACAUCGUUAAGGCUACUGUGCUAUGGGCGUAUGAACUAGUACCUGAGACUUACCGGCAGAAUUUCGGAAAGCUGGAUAAAACCGCCAGCCAAACCCAUGUUGAGUUUGCUCGUGAGAAAGCUUUGUUGUUUGACAAAUGGUGUCUCUCACUUUGAGCAGCUCAAGGAAUUGUUAUUAGAAGAAUUUUAGAAUUGUGUUCCCAAUUGUGUAGUGGCGUACCUAAAUGAACAGAAGGUAACUUGUUUAGCCGAAGCUGCCACCCUUGCUGACGAAUUUGUAUUGACCAUAAGACUGUUCACCCCAACCCCUCUGCCUCACAAACUUGGUCCCCAUCCUGUGACAUCGUCUCCGUCCGCUUCUUCUUCACCACCUGUAGAGAAGAGAGAAUGCUUCUAUUGCUACGAGGUGGGUCACAUCAUUUCUGUUUGUCCCGCGCUAAAGCGUAAGAAUGCUCGUGCUGUAACUAAGAAAGUACAUGUUGUUGCCUGUCCUGAUGGUAAUUCAAUUAGUAUUGUUGAUCCAAUGUUCUGUUUCCUGCUUCUGUGUCGCUUGGUGAAGCCAAGGUACGUCACCCUGCGACUAUCCUACGGGAUACGGGAGCGGCUCAGUCUUUCUUAAUUGAACCUUUAGAUGGUACAACUUACUGUGGCACCGACGUAUUGGUGCAGGGUAUCGAUAUAUGUGUGGCUGUAGUUCCUUUGCAUACUGUUUAUCUAUGUACUCCUGACUUUUCGGGAUUUGUACGUGUUGUGGUCCAGACCCAGUUACCUGUUCCUGGGCUCACGUUCAUCCUGGCGAAUGACAUUGCGGGGAAGAGGAUUGUUCCCCUACCUGAAGUUGCUCCAGAACCAGAGAUCUGCGCAAAUGAUGUUGCAGCGGAUUUGUCCCAGGUGUUUCCAGCUUGUGUUUUAACGUGGGCCCAGCGACGCAAGUUCACCGACAUUAAUCUGGCACGAGAAAUGUAUGUCCGACCCAGCGCCUACUUCGACAGGUGAUCCUGAAUCGCGGGUCCCUGUGAAACUUGCUGUUUCCCCAGAGGUCCCCUCCACUACGGACGCUCUGAUCACUGCACAAACGACAGACUCCUCCUUGGAGGUUUGUCGUGCCUCUGUUGUGGACAAGGCCGACUUGAAAGACCACCCCACUGCAUACUUCUAUCGUAACCAAGUGCUGAUGAGGAAAUGGCCCUCUCCAGAACUUGACACCUCAUCACCUUCAGUUAUUCACAGAUGGUUUCUGUUUUUCUUGGUUCUGUGUUCUUUUGUGUUUGGGUGCUUUUCCUUGUAUGACCCGAUUGGGACUGUGAACACCUGCCGGGUUCGCUCUUGUGUGUGUGUGGGGGGUGAUACGUGCCUUCCUGCCCUCGUCCCGAUUCGCUGGCUGCACCUUCGGCUCCGCCUCUCCAUCCAGACCCCGCCCACGACUCGUCCGAUGCGCCGCUCGUCAUUUCCGGGUCCUGAGAAGAGAAGAUGGCGGCUAGACAACCUCGGGAGCUCUGCUUAUUGGUUUACUGUAUUGGUUUGCUUGCCCGUGUAUGACUGUUUUGGUUUCUGAUUUCGGCUUCGCCCUCUUUUGGUACUUUUGCUUUGGUUUGUUGUUUCCUUGGUUUGACCCUUUGCCUGCAUUUUCUGACUGUCCGUUUGCUUUUGCCCUUCUGUACUGUCACCAGAUUUUGUGUUUCUUGUGAGUUCGUGUCUUGGUGUGUAAGGAGUGACUGCCAGUUUGCUUUUGCGCAACGUGAUGUGUUAUUGUUAAUUUGGGUAGGGAGUUAGGUAUUAGUAUUGUCGUUUUGUUUGUAUUUUGUUUUCUCAGUUAUGAUUAGCUUAGUUUGGGCAUUCGUGCGGUAGUGGCGUUUUGUUUAUUAUUUUGGCCGUGGUCACUCCUGAAGUCUGAUACACCCAAUGUUGUGAAAGUGUGUAUAAAAUAUAAAAAAACUAAAAAAAUA